rnacentral:tRNA from 1 species
UGCGGGGUGGAGCGGUCUGGUAGCUCCUCGGGCUCAUAACCCGAAGGUCGGAGGUUCAAAUCCUCCCUCCGCUACCA